rnacentral:misc_RNA from 1 species
CCAGAGAUGGCGGGCCCCGGGCCCCCGUCCCCAACCCUUUGUUGACCAAACCACUUUUGCCUCGGGGGCAGAGCGGCCUCCGCCGCCCCCGGUGGACCAACCAACCCUGUCUCUGUAUGUCGGAGUUUUUGAUGAAUGAAUGA